AGAGUUUGAUCCUGGCUCAGGAUGAACGCUGGCGGCGUGCCUAAUACAUGCAAGUCGAGCGAACCACUUUGGUGGAGAGCGGCGAACGGGUGAGUAACACGUAGGUCAUCUACCCAUCAGUCGGGGAUAACGUUUGGAAACGAACGCUAAUACCGGAUAGGAUGAAAAUUUAAAGGUGCGCGAGUCGCAUCGCUGAUGGA
rnacentral:rRNA from 1 species